rnacentral:rRNA from 1 species
GAUGAACGCUGGCGGCGUGCCUAAUACAUGCAAGUCGAGCGAAUGGAUUAAGAGCUUGCUCUUAUGAAGUUAGCGGCGGACGGGUGAGUAACACGUGGGUAACCUGCCCAUAAGACUGGGAUAACUCCGGGAAACCGGGGCUAAUACCGGAUAACAUUUUGAACCGCAUGGUUCGAAAUUGAAAGGCGGCUUCGGCUGUCACUUAUGGAUGGACCCGCGUCGCAUUAGCUAGUUGGUGAGGUAACGGCUCACCAAGGCAGCGAUGCGUAGCCGACCUGAGAGGGGGAUCGGCAACACUGGGACUGAGCCACGGCCCAGACUCCUACGGGAGGCAGCAGUAGGGAAUCUUCCGCAAUGGACGAAAGUCUGACGGAGCAACGCCGCGUGAGUGAUGAAGGCUUUCGGGUCGUAAAACUCUGUUGUUAGGGAAGAACAAGUGCUAGUUGAAUAAGCUGACACCUUGACGGUACCUAACCAGAAAGCCACGGCUAACUACGUGCCAGCCGCCGCAGUAA